GACACUGGCACUUGAGGCCUGGAGUUGCCUACCCCUGGACAAGUUUAUUGAUCACAGCAAACCAAAGCACCCGUCAGCCCACAGUACUACUGUUACCCCAAAAAUAGAUGUCUGUGACCUCAGAGCUGGCAACAGGCAUGGGAUUAUUGAUACUACUAUUUUUGCUGUGGCAAGAGUGCUUCAACAAGGUUUCAAUUGGAGAGAAUUUCCAGCUACAUCAGAAUCAGCAUCCAAAUAGUGAAGCUAGUAAGAUCUCCACACAGAAAAGGAUUCACUUUGUUCCAUUUUGGCAGUUGACUGCAAGUGGACUCAUACCUGGUCCCCAUGUAUGAAGUGAUCAUUUCGAAGACAAGGGGAUAUCGAGUUGAUUGCACAUAGUUGGAAUAAUUUUGAUCACUCUACAGUCUCCUACCACUGUUUUCCCAUGUGUGCUAAAAAAGCAUUUUCAGUGUUUCUGUGUAUUUUAAUGUCUAAUAAUUUUUGCAUAUAUAAGCUGUAGAGAACAAGGUUUACAAAGAGGUUAUAUGUAACAUAAAUGAUCUUUACAACUCUGCAUUAUUGUCUUUUUUAGCCACUUACAGAACUGUUAUAUUUGUUCCCAUUCCUGAUGGCUUGUUGGCUGGAUGUCUAAUGCCAAUGACACUUUCUACCUGGAUUAAUAAAGGAAAUCUAAAACCCCCA